CAGUAGCCGCGGUAAUACGAACCGUGCGAACGUUAUUCGGAAUCACUGGGCUUAAAGCGCGUGUAGGCGGGAGGGCACGUCCGUCGCUGAAACCCCCCGGCUCAACCGGGGAACGGGCGCGGAUACGACUCUUCUGGAGGAACGUAGGGGGACCUGGAACUUCCGGUGGAGCGGUGAAAUGCGUUGAGAUCGGAAGGAACGCCCGUGGCGAAAGCGAGGUCCUGGACGUUUACUGACGCUGAGACGCGAAAGCCAGGGGAGCGAACGGGAUUAGAUACCCCCGUAGUCCCUGUCUCUUAUU
rnacentral:rRNA from 1 species